GACGUAGGGCGCGAGCGUUGUCCGGAUUUAUUGGGCGUAAAGAGCUCGUAGGCGGCUUGUCGCGUCGACUGUGAAAACUCGGGGCUCAACUCCGAGCUUGCAGUCGAUACGGGCAGGCUAGAGUUCGGUAGGGGAGACUGGAAUUCCUGGUGUAGCGGUGAAAUGCGCAGAUAUCAGGAGGAACACCGAUGGCGAAGGCAGGUCUCUGGGCCGAUACUGACGCUGAGGAGCGAAAGCAUGGGGAGCGAACAGG
rnacentral:rRNA from 1 species